GAACAAAAUCAUUGCUGAGUGUGGUUCUUUAGCUCCUCAGGUGCCUUUUUCCUGUAUUUGCAGAACUUCUCUCAAGAGCUUCAAAAGCUUGAGGAGUAUUGCAUGAACCAGAAAUCCAUUGAUUCAAUGUACAAGGUUUCCAUUGGAGCAGCUUGUAAUCUUUCUUGGCCUGCUGGCCGUCUCGUGAUCCAAGUACUAGAUGAUUUCUACGGACCCCGAGGUUAAG